rnacentral:rRNA from 1 species
GGCGGCGUGCCUAAUACAUGCAAGUCGAACGGACUCUUAUAGUUAUGCGUCCCAGACCUUCGGGUCGGGGUUGCACUAACUGUACGAGUUAGUGGCGGACGGGUGAGUAACACGUUGGUACCUGCCCCGAAGUGGGGAAUAACUGCCCGAAAGGGUGGCUAAUACCGCAUAAUACCGCAAGGUUAAAGCAGUAAUGCGCUUCGGGAGGGGCCUGCGUCCCAUUAGCUAGUUGGUAGGGUAAAAGCCUACCAAGGCGACGAUGGGUAGCUGGAUCGAGAGGUUGACCAGCCACACUGGGACUGAGAUACGGCCCAGACCCCUACGGGAGGCAGCAGUAAGGAAUCUUCCACAAUGGACGAAAGUCUGAUGGAGUAACGCCGCGUGCAGGAUGACGGUCUUCNGAUUGUAAACUGCUUUUAUAUGGGAAGAUUGUGACGGUACCAUAUGAAUAAGGACCGGCUAACUAC